CACUAACAAAUCUCCUUCUAGAUGAAAGAGCUACUUCGAUGGGCUCGGAUCUCCUCAUCCAUAAGCCAAGGACCAUAUCGGGCCCUUAUCAUCGAAUUCCAUAGACUCUCCAACUCGAGCACUAGUUUGACCACGUGCCAAGCGAUCAGAGCCUCUCGUCUCAUCACUAAGGUUUGGAUGCCCCAGCCACAAUCUCUCAACGAUUGGCAGAGCACGUCCCAGGCCAGUAGAUUCACGCCUUAGCAUCCCGAAUUUGAGCCCC
rnacentral:lncRNA from 1 species